GAAAUGCGAUACUUGGUGUGAAUUGCAGAAUCCCGUGAACCAUCGAGUUUUUGAACGCAAGUUGCGCCCGAAGCUUCUGGCUGAGGGCACGUCUGCCUGGGCGUCACGCAUCGCGUCUCCCCCUCGCCCACCUCUGUGGGAAGGGGAAGGAUGAUGGCUUCCCGUGCCUCACCGGGCGCGGCUGGCCUAAAAUUGGAGCCUAAGGCACUGAGCUGCCGCGGCGAUAGGUGGUGAACUAGGCUUAGGCCAUGCAAGCAACCCGUCGCGCAGCCCUCUGUCUCUCAGAGCUCGGAGGACCCUGUGUUGUUGCCUUGUUGCAACCCAAACCGUUGCGACCCCAGGUCAGGCGGGGCUACCCGCUGAAUUUAA
rnacentral:misc_RNA from 1 species